AACCCAUGAUUUUGACAUUUUCUCAGUAUCACUUUGAACCUUUCCCAUGCUUCACAAAAAGUUUCAUAUGAUUAUUGUCUUAACAUAGAAAUAUUAGACUUUGCUU
rnacentral:snoRNA from 1 species